rnacentral:rRNA from 1 species
UUGAAAGGGAAACGAUUGAAGUCAGUCGUACUGGCGGGCAAUCAGCCUUUCGAGUGGGGGUUUUGGGGGCUUGAGGAGUUAAUCACCUUCAUCUUUGCAUAUUUGUGCACUUUGGGUGUACUUGCUCGUUGGUAGGUUAACAUCAAUUUUAGUCAUCAUAAAAUGGCUGGAGGAAUGUAGCUUCGAUCUCGUAUUGAAGUGUUAUAGCCUUUGGUAGACGUGAUGAUUGGGAUUGAGGAUUGCAACGGAUACCCUUCGGGCUACCUGUCUGAUCUCUGGAAGUUGCUCUGGUGCUGAAAGCUUGCUUAUGGUAUCAAAGUUGACGUCUAAUAGGUUAGAAUGGGUUAAAUUCGUUAAGGAUGUUGACGUA